GCUGGCGGCACGCCUAACACAUGCAAGUCGAACGCAGUAGCAAUACUGAGUGGCAAACGGGUGAGUAUAAUGUGGGAAUCUGCCUUUUGGUUUGGAAUAACACGGGGAAACUUGUGCUAAUACCGAAUAAGCCCUUACGGGGAAAGUUUUAACGCCGAAAGAUGAGCCCGCACUUGAUUAGCUAGUUGGUAAGGUAAAAGCUUACCAAGGCAACGAUCAAUAGCUGUUCUUAGAGGAAGACCAGCCACAUUGGGACUGAGACACGGCCCAGACUCCUACGGGAGGCAGCAGUGGGGAAUCUUGCACAAUGGGGGAAACCCUGAUGCAGCGAUGCCGCGUGAGUGAAGAAGGCCUUUGGGUUGUAAAACUCUUUCGUCGGGGAAGAAAAUGACUGUACCCGAAUAAGAAGGUCCGGCUAACUUCGUGCCAGCAGCCGCGGUAAUACGAAGGGACCUAGCGUAGUUCGGAAUUACUGGGCUUAAAGAGCUCGUAGGUGGUUAAAAAAGUUGAUGGUGAAAUCCCAAGGCUCAACCUUGGAACUGCCAUCAAAACUUUUUAGCUAGAGUGUGAUAGAGGUAAGUGGAAUUUCUAGUGUAGAGGUGAAAUUCGUAGAUAUUAGAAAGAACACCAAAUGCGAAGGCAACUUACUGGGUCACUACUGACACUGAGGAGCGAAAGCAUGGGUAGCGAAGAGGAUUAGAUACCCUCGUAGUCCAUGCCGUAAACGAUGUGUGCUAGACGUUGGAAAUAUAUUUUUCAGUGUCGCAGCGAAAGCAUUAAGCACACCGCCUGGGGAGUACGACC
rnacentral:rRNA from 1 species